AACGAACGCUGGCGGCAUGCCUAACACAUGCAAGUCGAACGAAGGCUUCGGCCUUAGUGGCGCACGGGUGCGUAACGCGUGGGAAUCUGCCCUUGGGUUCGGAAUAACUCAGAGAAAUUUGAGCUAAUACCGGAUGAUGACGUAAGUCCAAAGAUUUAUCGCCCAAGGAUGAGCCCGCGUAAGAUUAGCUAGUUGGUGGGGUAAAGGCCUACCAAGGCGACGAUCUUUAGCUGGUCUGAGAGGAUGAUCAGCCACACUGGGACUGAGACACGGCCCAGACUCCUACGGGAGGCAGCAGUGGGGAAUAUUGGACAAUGGGGGGAACCCGUACGAUCCAGCCAUGCCGCGUGAGGGAAGGAAGGUCCGUCUGGA
rnacentral:rRNA from 1 species